rnacentral:lncRNA from 1 species
UGAUGACAAUCAAUUGAUGACGGAGUUAAACAUAACUCCCCCUAUCUAUAUGCCAUAUUAUGAGAAGAUAAAAACACUUGAAUUCCAUCCCAUUGAAUUCAAGCAUAAACUGAUAAGUUCUAACCGUAGAACUUAUCGUUAUUCUCAUUAAGCAUAAGUAAAUACGAAACUUUGAUGAAAAUCAUUUUCAAGUCGAAUGAUAAGAGACAAUUUUUA